UGCGAAACUGUAUACGUCCACCGUAAUGCUAUUUUUCACCUCUGGUCCUUUACAAAAGGGCUCUGGCAUCAAAGGGCAGCCGGCGGUGGAGACAGCCCUCAGAGCAAGGACGUCAGUGAUGUGGAUCAGCGGCUGCAGCUGAGGAGAGCGGACUCAGUCCCAGUCCGCUGAAGGAGGGACAUGAAGUCAAGGGAGAGGCAGCUGGCA
rnacentral:lncRNA from 1 species